CUUAUUUUUUCUCCCUGUCUGAGACGUAUUUGUCUGGAAGAAGGUCAAGGAAUGAGCCUAAUCAAAGUAGCUUUGCAGGAGCAAUUUGCACUGUGAGCUUGGACCUUGCAGAAGUCGACUGCAUAGGGAAUGGGGGCUGACUCUGUAUUAUUACUUCAUUACUCGCUAGUCUCUGUGCAGGGCAUGGAAGCUCUGCAUGGUAGUUUUGUUGUUGUCAUUGGUAUUGUUUUUAAGGAUGAGGAAACAAAGCUCAACAAGACUAAAGAAGGUGCCCAUGUCACGUAGCAGGUCUUUAGAUGAACUCUUUCAACCAACUGCCAAUCAGAAAAUCUGUGAAUCUGCCUGUGAUCUGGAAGCCCCUGCUUCCUGGUGUGCCACCUUUCCCGUCUGAACUGAUGUACAGCUUAAAUGUAUUGAUUGAUGCCUUAUGCCCUAUAGCAUGUAUAAAACCUAGCUGUGCCCUGAUCACCUGGGCCACACGUUCUCCG
rnacentral:lncRNA from 10 species